AGGACUAUCUGCCUGCAAUAUCUGUCACCCUAUUGAUCACCAGGGUUGAUUCUGCUGAUCUGGCUGACUAGGUAGGUGUUCCCUUUCUCCCUAUGUGUAUCCCUCCCAAAAUAAUGCACGCAGUUGAGAAGGAGGCCCAUCCCCGUUAGAAGAAGACCAUUUCCUCUGGCAAAGGUAUGUGAGUAGCUAUGCUCCCUGCUAGAACCUCCAAAUAAGCUCUCUGCUAUAGGUGGUACAUUGGUGGUAGGUAGUCUUUGAGAAGUGCAGCUUCUUUAUCAGAACAACAUUGUCUUACCAAA
ensembl:misc_RNA 7SK 7SK RNA